CAACAUAGGCUGUACUUGCUUGCAGGCAGGCAUGGAAAUUUUCAUUGUAAUUAAUAGAAACCUGCCAGGUUGACCCAAAAACACAGGCACAAGAGCUUCUUGCUGUAGAGAAAGAGAGGAGAGAAAAACCAGAGACAGAGAGAUGCUGGCUAGCAAAAAGUUAAAAAGAAUUGUGAGAUGGGUUUUGUCUCUAGGUAUAUAUGCAAAGUAUUUACACCUGGCGGAAAAAGAAGAAAAAAACACUGUUCGGUUUGUGAGAAAAUGAUUUAUGACGUCAAGUGGAUUGGUUUGAUCUGCUCGUCCAGCUUGAAGUUUUUGAACCUGAAUGGUCACUGCCUGAUCGCAAAAGAGAUGAGAGCUUGGUAUUUAUGGUGGUGGGAAAAGGCUAAGGCAACCGAGGGUGGUAUAGGGUUGUCUUGUGAUUUCAAUUGAUCGCAAGACACAUGUAUAUUUUUGGAUGAAAUAUUUUGGGCGUAGAAUCAAUGUUUUAUAGUGUGAAGCUAAAGGUUAGGUCAAGGGACUAAAGUGAGUCUGAUUUAGUGUUUGAAUAUCCUUAAAUUGGAAUAAUAAUUAUUAUUAUUAUUAUUA